UAUGUUUGUUGUUGUUGUUUACAACCUACAGGAAAGGAGAUCAACCACGGCACACUGGUUGAAAAUCACUGAUCUAGACCCGAAACCAGUGGUAAACUAAGGCUGUCUCUGACUUGGAUUCUAAGUCCCCCCAGAAAAGACACAAACAUUGGUAUAUUCGUAAGAAUAGAUUUAGAAACAGUCCUUCCAGCUCAGCAAAUGUCAUUUUGUUCCUGUCUGCUCUCUCUUUCCAUUUGCAAUAAACCUGACAAAAAUUUCCAGAAUGAAAAUGUGCAUAUUUGAAGGAAACAUUGGCAGGCAGCCACAGACGCAAAGGAGGCAAACUAGUUUUGCUCUUGUUUUUCUGCUAAUAACUGCUCGGCGGCCCAUGCUCCAGAGCCCCAGGGGGAUUCGGAUAGGCCAGGUGCACACAGGCCACGGGGAAGGUGGCAGGAAGAUGUCUUCUUCCUGGUAACUUCGUAAUUGAUUCAUCUGGCGGGAAUCCCACAUGUCAUAUUUGAGAUUCUCUUGCCAAAACUAAGGUCAUGAAGAUUUACCCUAUGUUUCUUAUAAGGGUUUUAUGGAACAUAAUCCCCACUCCUUAAGUGUGGACUGCACAUCGUGAUUUCUACUCUACGUGGAAAAAACCAGUGGAGAAACCUGACAAACACACCUCAGCCAGGUGAUCAAGGUCAACAUCAACAUCGUUGUGUUAAUAGCAUGACCCUUGACCCGAUGAGAAGGGCACUCUUAUGGCUGAAUGACGCCCCGCUCCAAAUUGAUAUGUUCAGUCUUAACUCCCAUCACCUUAGAAUGUGACUGUAUUUGAAGAUAGGAUCUUUAAAGAGGCAAUUGAGGUUAAAUGAGGUCCUCGAGUUGGAGCCUAAUCCAAUAUGACUGGUGUCCUUGAGAGGAGAGUGGGACAUAGGCAGGUAGAGGGAAAACCACGUGAAGACACAGGGAGAAGAGAGCCAUCUACAAACCAAGGAGAGAAGCCUUAGGAGAAACCAACCCUGCUGGCACACUGAUCUUAGACUUCCAGCCUCCAGAUUGUGGGAGAAUAGACUUUUGUUGUUUAAGAUGCCUGUCUAUGGUAUUGAUUAUGGCAGCCCCAUGUAGAGUAAUACGGGCACUUUACUUCUGAGAUGUUUCUCUCAAAGACUCAUAACCCCAACCCAAUCACAAGAAAAAUAUCCAACAAAUCCCACUGAAGGGACAUUCUACAAAAUAUCUGAGCAAUCCUCCUCAAAACUGCUGAGGUUAUCAAAGGGCAAGGUAAAAAAAAAAAAAAUCUGAGAAACUCUCAACAGACAUGACAGCUAUUUGUAAUGUGCUGUCCUAGAUGGGAUCCUGGAACAGAAAAAGGGCCUUUCGUAAAAACUAAGGAAACCUGAGCAAAGUGUGGACUUCAGUUAAUUGUGACAAAUGUACCACAUGCCAACGUUAAUAAUAGGGGAAAUUGCGUGUGAGGAAUAUGGACAGUCUGUAUUCUCGUCACAUUUUCCCAUAAAUCUAAAAUUAUAAAAUUAAAAGUUAUUAUUUA